rnacentral:tRNA from 1 species
CGGGGCGUAGCGCAGCUUGGUUAGCGCAUCGGCCUUGGGAGCCGAGGGUCGGUGGUUCGAAUCCACUCGCCCCGA